rnacentral:lncRNA from 1 species
UUCCUGAGUGAAGUGUACGCAGAAGGCAUGGCUUCUCAGCUGUUCCUCUAAGCAGCGGCUCUUUCCACCCAUCUGGAGAUUUAGAUUCUAGAGUUCGGUAUCACAUUUGCCUGCAGAUUUGUUAAGAAUGCAGGCAGGGAAGACGGAUUCUGUUCAAUGACCCCCUUCAAGACUCCAGUGAAGUUCAGGAUCUGGCAGAGGGGAUGGAUUUAUAUAGAAGUGGGGCAACUGACACACAGAGGUAUUAAGCCCAAGGUCACUCUGUCCAUGAAUGAUGAAGCCAGUUGUGAACAGCCUACAACCAGAGCCUGGGCUCUUAAAUAUCAGGCUUUGCUGGCUUUGAUGAGUAGAUCUUUAUAUGAAGGCAAGUUCUUCCCCAUUGUGAAGGCACAUUGUGAAGGCACAUUCCCUGUAUGGAUAGGAAAAUAACACAGCACUGAAGUGUCUGCUAGGAUGGAAAAGUAAAUAUGAAAAAACCAAGGCUAUGACAAAAUGCUGAAUUAGAGUAUGUUCAAAUCAUAGCUACUCUAUAGGCUCAACCAGUAUAAGCACUGUUCCUAAUUGGUAAACCUAGAAGCGCAUUCUCCACCUGGAGGAUCUAGUGAGGUUUAAUCAAAAUAGUUUGUGUGAAAGUGACUGUUGUCUCAUAGAGACCCAGUAAAAGUUUGAUUUCUUGAAUAAUACAAGUUGGCAUAUGUUGCCCCUCAUACAUGUCCUAUUUUACUUACGUAUAAUGCUUUAAGGCAGAAAUUUAAAGUGCUUUAUGAAUGUUUUCUUAUUACUCAUAGCCCAGCUGCAAACUGUUGACAAAUAAUUUGUCCAGUUUGGAAAAAGUUUGUAAGGUUGGAGAAAACAGAAUUGAGAAAGGACAAAUAAUAAGUAUAAAGAAGAAAUCAUCUUUAUUAUAGUGUUUUCCUGUGGACAGAUGUUAUUACUAGUGUUAGUACUAAAGUUUUCAUUACCCAAUUAAUUAAUUCAGCGAUAUUUACUACAUGUUGUUCUCAGUGUCUGAGGUUAUUUAGAUGCUAGAGAUAGAGCCAGCCGUGGAUGAGACAGAUCAUAAUCAGGUCCAUCCUGGAGUUUACCUUUUAGGAGAUGGAGAGAAAGACAAUAAACAAGUAAAAUAAGCAAAUGAACUAGAGAAAGCCUGGUAGUGUUGAGUUCUAAUGGGUUAGCUAAGAGGAUAUGGUUUAGAGUUGAAUUAGAAUCAACCCUCAGAAUUUAUUUUGCUGAUCCUAAAGGACAACUUGACACUUAUAAAAUAUUAAUCUUGCCAUAAAAAUGUCAACUAUAUUGCUGUAGAGAAUCUCCAAUGAAGUUCUUUGUGAUCAGAGGACUAUAUAAUGAUGAUCAAUU